GGAGACGUUCAUGCAAAGAGUUGCUUGGAGAAAAUAAAAGAAGAGAGACCUGGAAAAUAAUGACCUGACAGGAUGAAAAAUUUAUUUUCCGAUAUAGGAGAGGCAUAAAGAGCUUUGUUGGAUGGCAUAUCGUAUAAUGCAGCUUCUGAAAAGAGGAGCAGCUAGCCUCUCACGAAAACCACUGGCCGACCAGCCUCUGUUACCUACAAAGAAAUGAAUGUAUCUACACGUGAAGAAGGAGCGAGAGAGAGAGAAAGAAACACCUUCAACUGGGUCUCAUCACACUGAUGUUCCCCCCAGAUCUAGCUCCUAUGGAUACCGGACAUGUGUGCAUUCAGCAUGUUUUAGGCCAGCCCAGGACAUAAACCAUGGUUCCCCAUGUGGCUUCCAGCACUGUGGCUUAGUAAGCUGCUGACUGUACCACCAAGGCCAGGCCACUUA